rnacentral:rRNA from 1 species
UACGAGUGCCCCAAGCGUUAUCCGGAAUCAUUGGGCGUAAAGGGUGUGUAGGUGGCAGUGUUAGUCUGCAGUUAAAGCCCGGGCUUAACCCCGGAUCUGCUGCAGAAACGGCACAGCUAGAGGAUGGCAGGGAUGUAUGGAACUCAUGGAGUAGGGGUGAAAUCCGUUGAUAUCAUGGGGAACACCAAAGCAAGAAGGCA